GACAUAGGUGGCGAACGUUAUCCGGAAUUAUUGGGCGUAAAGGGUGCGUAGAUGGCAGAAUAAGUUACUGGUCGAUGCCAAACUCAAUUUGACGGAAGCUGGUAAUACUGUUCUGCUAGAGGGCAGGAGAGGUUGAUGGAAUUCCUGGUGUAGCGGUGAAAUGCGUAGAUAUCAGGAGGAACACCUGUGGCGAAAGCGGCUCACUGGACCAUAACUGACGCUGAUGCACGAAAGCUAGGGGAGCAAACAGG
rnacentral:rRNA from 1 species